CAUCUUGUUUUUCUCUGCAGAUCCUCUGCAAGAUAUUGCUCUGAGUGUUGACAGCUGCACCUAUAUCGCUGGCAGAGAUGUUACCAUCCGAUUAGCAACUGUUUUAAGGCAUGCCAUCAAUGAACUCUAUGUGGAUUUCAGUUUUACCAUUAAUGGACAGAUUGUACCACUUUACAACAAGCAAGUUUGUGAACGAAAUCAGCCCCAGUUUCAAUUCUGUGGAAAGAAGAAAGGAGAAUAUAUUUACUACGCAGGGCCCGUCUCUCUGAACAUGGAGAACAUCCCACAAG